CCUUGACCGCAGCGACUCGAAAUAAAUGCGUAGCCGGUAACACUGUUUACCGGCGACACUGUCACUGCGCUGGAAGCCUCUUCAGGGGUUACCAGUAACCCGGGGUCCUUUGUGGAUCCGGGCUCACAGAUCAAACGACAGUGGCCGCCUCCGGGCGGUUCAGAUAUGACCGAUACCCCCGAGGUUGCUCGGGGGAAACCCCCUAAUAGUUCCGUAGGUGAACCUGCGGAAGGAUCAUUA
rnacentral:rRNA from 1 species